rnacentral:rRNA from 1 species
CAGGAUAAACGCUGGCGGCGCACAUAAGACAUGCAAGUCGAACGGACUUAAUACCUUGCUUGCAAGGUAAGCGGUUAGUGGCGGACUGGUGAGUAACACGUAAGAAAUCUGCCUAUCAGAGGGGAAUAACAGUGAGAAAUCAUCGCUAAUACCGCAUAUGCCAUAGUUAUCGCAUGAUAAUAGUGGGAAAGGAGAAAUCCGCUGAUAGAUGAGCUUGCGUCUGAUUAGCUAGUUGGUGGGGUAAAGGCCUACCAAGGCGACGAUCAGUAGCCGGACUGAGAGGUUGAACGGCCACAUUGGGACUGAGAUACGGCCCAGACUCCUACGGGAGGCAGCAGUCGGGAAUAUUGCGCAAUGGAGGGAACUCUGACGCAGUGACGCCGCGUAUAGGAAGAAGGUUUUCGGAUUGUAAACUAUUGUCCACAGGGAAGAAAAAAGACAGUACCUGUGAAGAAAGCUCCGGCUAACUACGUGCCAGCAGCCGCGGUAAUACGUAGGGAGCAAGCGUUAUCCGGAAUUAUUGGGUGUAAAGGGUGCGUAGACGGGAUUACAAGUUGGUUGUGAAACCCCUCGGCUCAACUGAGGAACUGCAACCAAAACUAUGAUUCUUGAGUGCAGGAGAGGAAAGUGGAAUUCCUAGUGUAGCGGUGAAAUGCGUAGAUAUUAGGAAGAACACCGGUGGCGAAGGCGACUUUCUGGACUGUAACUGACGUUGAGGCACGAAAGUGUGGGGAGCAAACAGGAUUAGAUACCCUGGUAGUCCACACUGUAAACGAUGGAUACUAGGUGUAGGGGAUAUUAAGUCCUCUGUGCCGUCGCAAACGCAGUAAGUAUCCCACCUGGGGAGUACGACCGCAAGGUUGAAACUCAAAGGAAUUGACGGGGACCCGCACAAGCGGUGGAGCAUGUGGUUUAAUUCGAAGCAACGCGAAGAACCUUACCAAGUCUUGACAUCCCGCUAAAGCAGGGGCAACGCCCUGUACCCUUUUGGGAAGCGGAGACAGGUGGUGCAUGGUUGUCGUCAGCUCGUGUCGUGAGAUGUUGGGUUAAGUCCCGCAACGAGCGCAACCCUUAUCCUUAGUAGCCAGCGAGAGAGACGGGCACUCUAGGGAGACUGCCGGGGAUAACCCGGAGGAAGGUGGGGAUGACGUCAAAUCAUCAUGCCCCUUAUGAUUUGGGCUACACACGUGCUACAAUGGCGUAAACAAAGGGAAGCGAGCCUGCGAGGGGGAGCGAAACCCAAAAAUAACGUCCCAGUUCGGACUGCAGUCUGCAACCCGACUGCACGAAGCUGGAAUCGCUAGUAAUCGCGGAUCAGAAUGCCACGGUGAAUACGUUCCCGGGUCUUGCACACACCGCCCGUCA